rnacentral:rRNA from 1 species
AGUGAACGUUGGCGGCGUGGAUUAGGCAUGCAAGUCGAGCGAGAACCGUAGCAAUACGGGGACAGCGGCGAAAGGGACAGUAAUGUGUAGGUACCUACCUCCGGGUUCGGGAUAGCUGCGGGAAACUGCAGGUAAUACGGAAUAACGUCUCCGGACCAAAGGUGUGAUUCCACCUGGAGAGGGGCCUGCAUCCUAUUAGCUUGUUGGCGGGGUAACGGCCCACCAAGGCGACGAUGGGUAGCGGGUGUGAGAGCACGACCCGCGUCAUUGGGACUGAGACACUGCGCAGAAACCUACGGGUGGCUGAAGUCGAGGAUCUUCGGCAAUGGGCGCAAGGCUGACCGAGCGACGCCGCGUGCGGGAUGAAGGCCUUCGGGUUGUAAACCGCUGUCGUAGAGGAGGAAAUGCAGGGGGGUUCUCCCCUCUGUUUGACCUAUUCUAGGAGGAAGUACGGGCUAAGUUCGUGCCAGCAGCCGCCGUAA